rnacentral:tRNA from 1 species
GGUAUCAUGGUGUAAUGGUUAUCACGUUAGUUUAACAUGCUAAAGGUUUUUGGUUCGAUUCCAAAUGAUACUA